GGCUAUUUGAAAAUCAGAGCAUCUUUUAAAAGGGAGACGGCAUCUGAACCUUGCCGAGUAGGAAUGUUCCAGAAGUAAGAGAGAUGACUAGGGUUUCAAGAACAAGGACCAGCACCUAUGAAGGCUCUGAGGCACAGACCACUGUGACCUGUGGAGAAGUGAAACAUCCACCCGAGGCAUCCAAGAAUUCGCAGUUCAGAUCUGGCCUUCCAGAAAGUCAUGAAGUUCUACUUGUCAAGAGAUAUUGCCCAUUCGUCCAACUGCCGCUGUCCUGCCAGUAUAUCGUCUGAGAUUACCAUCAGCUAAAUAUUGCAUUGUCUUUGGACAAUUUUCCUACAUUGUGACUCCUCACUACAUUUUCAAUGCUUUUCUAGUCCCAGACAAGCUACAGACUGUUAAUUUACACUUGCUUUUGCCUUGCCUGAGGAAAUUGAAAAUAAAUUUUAAUUUCCUAGUCAAGGGCUACGGGUGCUUUGUGUGGUUUGGAGGAAAAAAAAAUACUGUUAGAUGGAAUUAGGGAAUAUUAGGAGAGUUUCUGAAGUUAGUGAAGGUACACAGUAAUUGAUCACUUGCCCUCAUAGUGAGAGGUCAUUCCAAUGAGCAGAGGUUCUGUCAAUAUCUGAGAUCUGUUUGAUACCUGGCCUCAAUCUGUCGAUCACGCCCAGUAACCAUAUUCAUAGGCUUCAGAUCUGAAUUUUGAAUUGCAUCAGAAGCUUUCCUCUGGCCUCAGAGAUGCCAUUGAGACCAUUCUCAUAGUUAGUCACCACUCACACUACACAAAAUGGAAGAAAAAAACUUCCUUUGGGGCAAAUCAACAAUCUCUGGUAGGAAAAUAAACAAGGAUGCUUUCAGAAUACCAGAAGCCCAAGUCUGAGCAUCUGGAGGCAAAGGAAGAGUAGAGAAGUCUUUGUUGGUGGGACCACUGCCUGUAGGAAUUUAAGGGAACUUGGAUCUUAGGAGUUGCUCAGUUAAGUCCUAGAGAGAGCCUAAGUGGGACUGAUGAGAAGCAGAACAAAUUGCUAUUUCUGAGAAGAAAAACCAACACUUUUGGAUGUUAACUUUUGGAUGUUUGAAUUUUUUGUUUUAGUUUUUAUUCCUUUUGGGAAAAGCUAUUUUUAUCGCAAAAAAAUAUGUAAAGCUAGCAACAAAAUAGUUGAAAGUAUUUAUUGUGUACCUACUGUGUGAUAAUAGCAGCUGGGUUUCAAACACAAGUGAAUAUGAAAUAAAUGAGCCCUAGAUGCACAAAAAUAC
rnacentral:lncRNA from 10 species